UGUUCUCUAAUUUUAUCGAAUGAGAGUAUGUCUCUCUUUACUCUCAGACUUGCGAUCUUGACUUUUAGAACUCCUUUCCUUUGAGUCAGAUGAUGUUUUAACACUUAUAACCGGCUCGCCUUUUGAUUUGUCCAUGACAACAGUACGUUCUGUUCUUCUACUUCCUGACUUGCUAGUUCUAGAAUGAUCUGUUCCAGACUUGGGUUCUUCCUUGUCUUUUUCAGUAUCCUCUUUUUCUUCAGGUUUAGUAUCAUCUUUAGCAGCCGCUUCAUCUUUCUUCACCGGUGAGGACUUUUCGGACUUGUUAUCAGUUGAUGUACGCCUGUCAUUGCUAGAAGUCUUUUCUUUCUUUGGCUCAUUUUCUUUCUUUCAGGUUUCUUUCCAGCAGGCUCGCUUUUAGCCUUUUCCAGAGAGAUCAUUCUUCCAUGUAGCUCAGUUCUGUGAAGGUGGGUUAUACAUUUGGUUGCAUCCUCAGAAGAGGAUAUUGUGACAAAUCCAUAACAAUGGGCACCAGGACUACGAGCAUUUGUAACCACUUUUCCCUCUACCACCUUUCCAUAUUUGCAGAAGAGAUUUUUCAAAUCAGUUGCUCUUGUGGUGGAUGA